rnacentral:rRNA from 1 species
GUAGUCAUAUGCUUGUCUCAAAGAUUAAGCCAUGCAUGUCUAAGUAUAAGCACUCUAUACUGUGAAACUGCGAAUGGCUCAUUAAAUCAGUUAUCGUUUAUUUGAUAGUACCUUGCUACAUGGAUACCUGUGGUAAUUCUAGAGCUAAUACAUGCUAAAAACCCCGACUUCGGGAGGGGUGUAUUAAUUAGAUAAAAAACCAAUGCCCCUCGGGGCUCCUUGGUGAUUCAUAAUAACUUAACGAAUCGCAUGGCCUUGCGCCGGCGAUGGUUCAUUCAAAUUUCUGCCCUAUCAACUUUCGGUGGUAGGAUAGUGGCCUACCAUGGUGGCAACGGGUAACGGGGAAU